UCGACCUGCCUUGUAAAACUGAUGUAUAGAAGAGAAGACAACCAAUAACUGAUUAGCAAGAUGGCCGAGCGAGGGGGAGGGGCUUGUAUAGAUGUCAGCUGGCCCAGCUGAGCGUUCUUCAUCAAAUGUCUCUUUGUCCGUCAUUGCCAAAGUACACAUAAUAUCUACUAGCAGCAGUAUAUCUUGAAUUUUAUCACAUAUGUAUACUGUUUUCCGACCUUUGCUUUUAAAUGUUUUUCCUUUUGGAUAAUUUGGUUCUUCCAAGUAUUCACAGGUGUGUUGUAUAUUUUGUUUCUUAUAUGUUGUAAUUUAAAUCUAAAUAUUGGAAAAAACAUGAUUCUUUCCAACCCCAAUUUCAGAUUAGAACAUGAAACAUAGUGGGUGGGGUAGCUUAAUUUGAGAUUUGGAAAUUAGCAGUUGCUUAGGCUAUUUUAGAUUAGGUUAGAUUAGGUUAGGUUUAUCCUAAUUUGGUUUGGAUAGACUACAUAAAUUUGUCAACACAAAUUAAAGCUCUCCCGAGUCUAUUAGCCAUAGCAAACAUCAUUAUUCUAAUCAGAACAAAGCAUCGUUUUGAGAAGAUAGAAAAGAGUUGACAGCUUGGGUUGGAAGAAAAGUUCGAAGCUAUUGCAAGCAAGGUCUUCCCAGGAAGAUCUAUUGUAUUUAUUUUGUGCGUGAAUGCAGUCAAAGAUAAAGUCUGAUGAAGACUUGCAGUAGUUGUGAUUUGUGAAAAGGGAAGGCAAGAAUCUUUGGGUGUAUAGACGGGGAAGGUGCAAGUGGGUGCAAUUUUCUUCGGUAGCCUAGUGGAGUUGACAGGGAGAGUCUCUCAUAGCGUAGAUGAUACGUUCUUUACCUACAGAGCUGUAAUCUAUGCUUCUCGAAAGGAGACAACUUUUUUUUGAGAAGUCUAAGCGGAAGAUCAAUUUAUUAUGGGGGUUGAGAAGUCUAAGCACAUGCUAGGCUCUCCUUUGUAUACUCCAAAAGAGGAAAGAGUGCUAUCAAGAAGCUCAUGAGACUGAGUCAAGGAGCGUAGCUACCAGUCUUAAAGGGGCAUAACCCCAAGCAAGCAAGACGAGUUGAUCCCGUUGACAUAGUUAACCCAUUAUAUGGUCUUGACACCAAUGCCCGAGAAGUUGCAACAUAAAUAUGGGAGUCAACUCGUUGAUUUACAUGUACAUUGUUGGACACUACUUCGUUUUCAAAAUAUAGGAGUGUCAUUUUUGUAAAUAAAUUUCCUAUUUAAGAUAUAUCACCUACGUAUGGACACUACUUUGUUUUCAUUACGAAUAUAAAUAUCAUAACGUGUUGGAUAAAGUUUUACA